rnacentral:rRNA from 1 species
AUUGAACGCUGGCGGCAGGCUUAACACAUGCAAGUCGAGCGGAUGAAAGUAGCUUGCUACUGGAUUCAGCGGCGGACGGGUGAGUAAUACUUAGGAAUCUGCCUAUUAGUGGGGGACAACGUUUCGAAAGGGACGCUAAUACCGCAUACGUCCUACGGGAGAAAGCAGGGGAUCACUUGUGACCUUGCGCUAAUAGAUGAGCCUAAGUCGGAUUAGCUAGUUGGUGGGGUAAAGGCCUACCAAGGCGACGAUCUGUAGCGGGUCUGAGAGGAUGAUCCGCCACACUGGGACUGAGACACGGCCCAGACUCCUACGGGAGGCAGCAGUGGGGAAUAUUGGACAAUGGGGGGAACCCUGAUCCAGCCAUGCCGCGUGUGUGAAGAAGGCCUUAUGGUUGUAAAGCACUUUAAGCGAGGAGGAGGCUCCCGUAGCUAAUAUCUACGGAGAGUGGACGUUACUCGCAGAAUAAGCACCGGCUAACUCUGUGCCAGC